CGGGACGUAGCGCAGUCUGGUAGCGCACUACACUGGGGGUGUAGUGGUCGCAGGUUCAAAUCCUGUCGUCCCGACCA
rnacentral:tRNA from 1 species